rnacentral:rRNA from 1 species
CCCCUACGGGGCGCAGCAGUAGGGAAUUUUCGUCAAUGGGCGCAAGCCUGAACGAGCAAUGCCGCGUGAACGAGGAAGGUCUUCGGAUCGUAAAGUUCUGUUGAAGGGGAAAAAGAGCGGAGAGAGGAAAUGAACUCCGAUUGAUAUUACCCUUCGAGGAAGUCACGGCUAACUACGUGCCAGCAGCCGCGGUAAUACGUAGGUGGCGAGCGUUAUCCGGAAUGAUUGGGCGUAAAGGGUGCGUAGGCGGCCUGCUACGCCUGGACUGCAUGGGACCGGCUCAACCGGUAUAGGCUGUGGGAACU